rnacentral:lncRNA from 1 species
GAGUUAAUAUCUAGUUACCAUGGAUUUAUAUACCAAAUCUCAUACAGCUCUGUAGUGAAGAAAAGUCAGCGUUCUUGCAGGAACUGAGUCUGUCCUGGGUAAAGUCAAUUACUAAUUCUGUAACCUUUGCCAAGUCACUUCUUUCUCUGAACCUUGGAUUCCUCAUCUCUGUAAUAGGUACAAAUGUCUAUCUCACAUAGUUGCAGAAGAAAUCAUAGUGAAGUCUAGCAUUUCAGAAUUGCUCAGUCUAUGUUAGUUCUGAUCCCAAAUUCCAAAACUCUACACUACUACGCCAAUGUUCUAAGCCAUUAGAUAACCAGGAAGAUGGGAAGGCAGCACUAGUCAAGGUCACAGCUAUAAAAAUGCAGAGAUGCCCAGUUUCAACGUUUUAGAAAUAGUGUCUAUAAAAUGUAUGUGUCCGAUUCUUAACUCAUUUACCCCUUUCAUAAAGAGAAUUUCUAUCGUGUAAAUUAUUUUCUAGAAUACUUAUGUAUUUCCCUAGAAUGUGAGCUCCUUGAAAGCACAAUCUAUAGCACAAAGUCACUUCAUGGCAUAAACUGCACAUUAAUUACCAUAAUAAUGAGCUAAUUAACAAAUUAAUGUAUAAAUUAGAUUACAAAUUGACUAGCUCUUUUUUAAAAAAAAAAUAAGCUUUUUCCUUUUUCAAAAAUAAGUCAGCAUUUUGAUAUAAGAAUAAUAUAAU